CUAUAAUCCUCUCCUUUGCUUGUCAGGUUCUGCCUCACAAAGGAGUCUUGUGGCCAAGCUCAGAAUUUACCACACAACUACUAUUGUAUGGCCUUAAGUUGCCAGCGAGAGGCAGGUGGAUUCACACUUAUUGAGCAUCUACUAUGUGAGGAUUCCGUGUUCAACACUUCAAGCCCAUUGUUUAAGAUGCAAAAAGUGGCAAAGCAUUAAAAGGCAGCCAAGGGGCUGAUCCAAGGAGCUAUCUACUUUUUCAGUGGACGAAGGCAAAGGUCUGCCUGGUAUCUGCCUCAGAGCUGACCCAAAAGAAACUUGGCAAUGGAGAUUGUUAGCUCCAUGAGGUCGAAGCUCCAUGAGCCAAAAAAUGGGAACUCUGUUCUACCAGACAAGCACCCAGACCAUCUCCUAUUGCGUGAUAAGCACCCAACAAAUAUUGAACAAAUUAACAAGAUGAGAAGCCGUAACUGGUGGCAAGAAGCCGGUCACGUAUUGCAGACGUUCUCAGGAGUCAGGGAAGGAGAGGAGAGAAUAUACUAUGAAGCCAAAUUCCAUGGAACAAAUGACCUGGGGAAUCAAUGAGACAGAUUGGGUUGUGGAAAUGCUCCAUCUGAUGCUGUAAUUGGGGAUGGACAGUCCUUCCAGUCUCCAGGUGUUUUGCAUGGUUCUUCAUCCAAACUGGGCCUCCCUGGGAAAGGGAGUGAGACAGUAAGCGCUCUAGAGCCGAAUACGCAAUCUUCGAGGUAUGCCUGUACCAUAUAGACUCUUGCCCAUGUUCCCCCCCACCCCCCCGGCUCCCCAGAGGCGGAAGAUGGGGUGUUGGGGGUGGAUGAAAUGGUGAAAGGCGUCAAAAGGUGGAAGACAUUACAAAAGGCCUAUCCGAGUUGUCUAGUAACGCAAAAACAAACAGCGUUUGGGGCCUAGAAGAGCUGUAUGCGCGACAUACAAGACCCCCAUGGACAUUAAUAGUGACCAAGGGAUCCACUUUGUCGGCCAUGAAGUUCAGGAAUGGGCCGAUAAUAAUGGCACACACCGGCAUCUCCCCCCGCCUCACAACCUCACUGCUGCUGGGCGGUGAAUGAGCUGCUUCAACAACAGCUGAGACGGGAAACCCGCUCCUUCAACGUGUGGACACAUGCCAGGAGCGAUCGGCGCAGUGCUGACGCCAUGUUAACCCAGAGGCCGCUAGUCAACGCCGUUCAGGUUCAACUGUUGACCACUGAAGGACCGUUGCCAACUGCUGGCCAGGACGAUAACUCACUUUUGCCCUCGCCACAGGCUCUACCCCCAGGGGAACACAUAACAUGGCCCUGGGACUGGCAGAGUCACUGGAUUUGCUGCCUUGCUGGCCAUCUUUACUGGAGGACCACUGCUUUUGUUCUUGACACUCCUGGGCCUGCUGGCCCCAGCUUCUCCUGGACACUGAAACAGAAAGGAAAGGAAGUCAUUAUAGUUGAUGAACAAGAAGAUGCCAGUGGCCUGAGCAGUAAUGGGGAACCAGCCUCCAGGUAAAAGAACUGCCAUUUUUGUUGCCUGUUUUGAUCACAUAUAAAUAUGAAGGAUCUGCUGUGUCUCUACAAAGCAAUGAGAGAACAAUCACCGGACUGAGCCUUUGUGAUGUGUCCUGCCAGGCACUCUGUUGUUCACAGCUACGGGAUAAAAACCGAGAACCCUGGACCAGGGCUAAGUGAAACUGAGAGAAAUCCAACACAGGAAUCUUCCCUGCAAAAAGUAAGAUUGUCCUUUAGCCUCCAUCCAAGUGACACUAGUAAUUUGAGUCCUCCAGGGAUGCGGGGUGGGCGGGGGGCAAGUUAACAGGCUGGUUUCUGAGUUGGUACCAGUCAUGAAAGCAAACAUUUUAAUUUGUGCGACAUAGUCACUGAGAGGAAUAAUAACAUGCUCUUUCUGGGGGACUGUCAAAGCCGUUCACUAGGGUGGUGCCAUUACCUAAAAA